rnacentral:rRNA from 1 species
CCGGCGACCGGCGCACGGGUGAGUAACACGUAUGCAACCUGGCCGUGACAGAUGGAUAACCGGGAGAAAUCCCGCCUAAUACAACAUAAUGCCGGGAGGGGACAUCCCCUGCCGGCCAAAGGGGGCGACCCCGGUCACGGAUGGGCAUGCGGCGCAUUAGGUAGUUGGCGGUGUAACGGACCACCAAGACGACGAUGCGUAGGGGUUCUGAGAGGAAGGUCCCCCACACUGGUACUGAGACACGGACCAGACUCCUACGGGAGGCAGCAG